GACUUCCAAAACUUUCCAGGAUAGAGCAGAGACUGUUGUCCAGAAACCACAGGGAGUACAUCAGGGACUGAGGUCAUUCCCAUCUUAUAAAUGAAGAAUAUGAGGCCCAGAGAAGGUGAGCAACUCACCCAGACCUGGAAUGGAAACCAAAGUCUUCAGGAUGCUAUCCUAGCGCCCUUUCCACACACCGGGCAUUCGUGGUCCAGGCUAAUCUGCAGAUCUGGGCUCCUCAAAGACUGUUAGCUUGCAGUACCUCCUUUGAGUCAGAACCUUUUGAAAACAGUAAAGGGCUCUGCCCCUAAGACGUCAGAGUACUUAGAUGACUCCUUCAGAUGUUCUAUAGCAAGCCUCACCCACCUCCUUAUCCUUGUCUAAUUAAACCUAAUUUUCUUCACUUACCCAAAUAAAGAACCAUUUCCACUCCA